AUGUAUAGCAUUUCCUGGGAAGUCAGCUGGGAGGGGUCAGAGAAGAUCCCAUGAACUAGGCCUUGAAGAAUGCUGAGAACACAGCCAGGAGGACUGCCAGUGCUUGAAGGUGGGCAGUGUGGAGCAAAUACACUGAAGAGGGGAGCCCCUGGGACAGAAAGUGACCUGAGUGGGAUCCAGAAGCUGAAGGAACUGAAUGAUCAAAGAAGGGGUAGAUUGAUUUCUACAACGGAGGAGAGAGGAUAGGUCAGUGAAGACAGGAAGCAUCACUGGAUCCUUCGGCAUAGAGGAACCCUUGAGUGUGUGUCUUCUUUCUGUUUGCCUCCUCCUCUCUGCAUCUGUCUGAGGUUGAGCUGCCUAGAUUCCUGCAGAACCAAGGUCACGGGAAAGGUCUUGAGGCUCACAGGGUCAGAGCUGCACACCUCCUUGGAAGACACCAGGAUUUGCUCUCAUUCCACAGAUGACCCAAGAGCUCCUAGACUUGUCUAGAAGACACGUGGAGAACCAGAAUGACAAGGCCUGCUCCUGUGUAUGUGUCCUAAAGGCACUUCCUGUCUGGACUAGUGCAGGAGAUCAGAGUCUCAAAUUCAAGAGCAAGAUAAAUAACCUAUAGAGGGGGAACUUCUUGGAUGAGGUCAACAAGCACCCACAAUUCCUUCAAAGGACAAUGAUCAUGGUUUGGACGGUCAUGACUUUUUGUGGAACAGCAGAGCAGGGAAAGAGUAUGCUUUCUGCUAAAAUCGGCAACAUCAUCUCCUCUGGGAACUCUUAAGAAGCCUGUUACCUGACCUCUUCACAGCCGCACAAACCCAGUCGCCAAUAUUUGCAUACUUUCUCCAAGGACGCAGUUCCCCCGGGACAGUUCAUAAAUCCACAUCUUGGGAAAUGUUCAUAGGAUGCUACAAACUAAACAGGGCUUUGUUAAAUAAAGCUGGGGUGUACUGAUGGCA
ensembl:lncRNA LOC102551322 uncharacterized LOC102551322